GAAGGUAUUUUUGAAAGAAGAAUUGAAAAUAUGAAGUUAAAGUGUAAAAAGAAAAAAUUCAGCCACGUGGAACAACCCAAUUAACAGACUCGAUGAACUGGAGCACGCCGCAUGUCAAAUCAUGUUGACAUUGGUGCCACGCAGGAGGCCAUGCGGGCGAUCUGCGUGCCCAACAAUUUGAUGGCCCAGGUUCAAUCCCGGGUGCGUGAACAACCC
rnacentral:lncRNA from 1 species